CGUCGCCAACCGUUCAUCGUCAGCGUCCGUCAGACACAGGAGGGCGAGAUCGCUCCCGCGACUUCGAACCAAGAUGCUUUCACGGUGAUCGCGAUGGCUGUGGUGGUGGCGCUGACCCUUCUAUCUCUAACGGAGUACUGACAGUAUAAGGUCCCAAGAUGAAUGGUUUCUGAAGCAAGACAAGCACAAGAAUCUUAAGUCCAGCGAGGAAGCGCUUUUCUUCAGUCAUCUUUGAAGAUUCUCAGAAGUGGCCGUUUCACUGCUCAAGAAACCUGCUUCAGAAGACUUAUUAACAAUACCCAUGUGUUGUUAUUGGCGGAUGUUUGUGACGUUUUUUGUUUUUGUUUUUCUUUCUUUUC